CUUGUCCUCGAUCGGCAGGAUGAGCGUUACAUCGUUGUAGCCCUCUAAAACAACAGACACCGCAACACAAGAAUAAUAUAUUAACAUAAAUUCAACAAUGUCAAUUACUAAUUUAUAUUGGCCAAAACUCAUUAAGUACUCAAUACGGAUUGAUGAAAAUGUAACAAGGAAAGUUACAAUGUAGGUACCAAUGAAAAAUUUAGGAAACAUAUUUCUGCGACUAUUGUUACUGCGCAGUGUUGACGCAAAUGGGACAUAUACGAUCGUCGUACCUAUCUUGGCGCUGAAGAAGCUGUUUGAUUCUGGAUGGUAUCUGUUGAUCUUGCCCUGGUGGAGAUCUACGAAAUACAAGCUGCGGGUCGGCGAAUGCCAGUGAGGGCCUUCUCCGAGUUCCAAAGCCGGCGUCACUCGUUCUACGUUGUACUGCUGAGGCGUCUGCUUGAAAACAAAUCCAUUCUGUCAUUAAUUUGGUUUUCAUUUUCAAAAAAACUGUUAAUAGCAGCAGAAGGCUAUAUAUAUAUAUA